GCCAGCCCGCUCAGAAACUUAAAGGAAUUGACGGGGGCCCCGCACAAGCGGUGGAGCAUGUGGUUUAAUUCGAUGAUACGCGAGGAACCUUACCUGGGCUCAAAUGUAUGUUGACGUAUUCUGAAAGGGAUACUUCUUCGGACAAUAUACAAGGUGCUGCAUGGUUGUCGUCAGCUCGUGCCGUGAGGUGUCGGGUUAAGUCCCAUAACGAGCGCAACCCCUAUCAUUAGUUGCCAUCAGGUAAUGCUGGGGACUCUAAAGGAACUGCCUACGCAAGUAGUGAGGAAGGCGGGGAUGACGUCAAAUCAGCACGGCCCUUACGUCCAGGGCUACACACGUGCUACAAUGGCCGAUACAGAGGGCAGCUACCUGGUGACAGGAUGCAAAUCUCCAAAGUCGGUCUCAGUUCGGAUCGGAGUCUGCAACCCGACUCCGUGAAGUUGGAUUCGCUAGUAAUCGCGCAUCAGCCAUGGCGCGGUGAAUACGUUCCCGGGCCUU
rnacentral:rRNA from 1 species